rnacentral:lncRNA from 1 species
AGUAAAAGUGACACAUACCUGAUCUGCAAGUAGCCUAUCGCACCUGGCUAGGCUCGCAAUGUAAUCGUACAAGCCGUUGGUGUACCUCCUCUACUUUUGCUAGCAACCUCGUUGGCUUGAGCGCUAUGGCACAUGAAUUCAGAGUAUUUGCCGGGCUGCUCCCCCGAGCUGCAAUUUCCCUUGCAUCCGUACGGUUGGAUACGAUGUUUUGAUUGACGCUACGUCAGUCAUCUGAAAAGCAUUCGCCCCAGAAAUACAUCGCAAGUAUAUGCACGUGCUAGUAUUUACAGGCUAAACUACGAUUGGUGUAACGCAA